CGCUGCUAUACAUGCAGUCGAGCGAACAGAUGAGAAGCUUGCUUCUCUGAUGUUAGCGGCGGACGGGUGAGUAACACGUGGGUAACCUACCUAUAAGACUGGGAUAACUCCGGGAAACCGGGGCUAAUACCGGAUAAUAUUUUGAACCGCAUGGUUCGAUAGUGAAAGACGGUUUCGGCUGUCACUUAUAGAUGGACCCGCGCCGUAUUAGCUAGUUGGUAAGGUAACGGCUUACCAAGGCGACGAUACGUAGCCGACCUGAGAGGGUGAUCGGCCACACUGGAACUGAGACACGGUCCAGACUCCUACGGGAGGCAGCAGUAGGGAAUCUUCCGCAAUGGGCGAAAGCCUGACGGAGCAACGCCGCGUGAGUGAUGAAGGUCUUCGGAUCGUAAAACUCUGUUGUUAGGGAAGAACAAAUUUGUUAGUAACUGAWCAAGUCUUGACGGUACCUAACCAGAAAGCCACGGCUAACUACGUGCCAGCAGCCGCGGUAAUACGUAGGUGGCAAGCGUUAUCCGGAAUUAUUGGGSGUAAAGCGCGCGUAGGCGGUUUCUUAAGUCUGAUGUGAAAKCCCACGGCUCAACCGUGGAGGGGUCAUUGGAAACUGGGAAACUUGAGUGCAGAAGAGGGAGAGUGGAAUUUCCAUGUGUAGCGGUGAAAUGCGCAGAGAUAUGGAGGAAACACCAGUGGCGAAGGCGGCUCUCUGGUCUGUAACUGACGCUGAUGUGCGAAAGCGUGGGGAUCAAACAGGAUUAGAUACCCUGGUAGUCCACGCCGUAAACGAUGAGUGCUAAGUGUUAGGGGGUUUCCGCCCCUUAGUGCUGCAGCUAACGCAUUAAGCACUCCGCCUGGGGAGUACGACCGCAAGGUUGAAACUCAAAGGAAUUGACGGGGACCCGCACAAGCGGUGGAGCAUGUGGUUUAAUUCGAAGCAACGCGAAGAACCUUACCAAAUCUUGACAUCCUUUGACCGCUCUAGAGAUAGAGUCUUCCCCUUCGGGGGACAAAGUGACAGGUGGUGCAUGGUUGUCGUCAGCUCGUGUCGUGAGAUGUUGGGUUAAGUCCCGCAACGAGCGCAACCCUUAAGCUUAGUUGCCAUCAUUAAGUUGGGCACUCUAGGUUGACUGCCGGUGACAAACCGGAGGAAGGUGGGGAUGACGUCAAAUCAUCAUGCCCCUUAUGAUUUGGGCUACACACGUGCUACAAUGGAUAAUACAAAGGGCAGCGAAUCCGCGAGGCCAAGCAAAUCCCAUAAAAUUAUUCUCAGUUCGGAUUGUAGUCUGCAACUCGACUACAUGAAGCUGGAAUCGCUAGUAAUCGUAGAUCAGCAUGCUACGGUGAAUACGUUCCCGGGUCUUGUACACACCGCCCGUCACACCACGAGAGUUUGUAACACCCGAAGCCGGUGGAGUAACCUUUUAGGAGCUAGCCGUCGAAGUGAC
rnacentral:rRNA from 1 species